rnacentral:rRNA from 1 species
UACGUAGGGUGCGAGCGUUGUCCGGAAUUACUGGGCGUAAAGAGCUCGUAGGUGGUUUGUCGCGUUGUCCGUGAAAACUCACAACUCAAUUGUGGGCGUGCGGGCGAUACGGGCAGACUGGAGUACUGCAGGGGAGACUGGAAUUCCUGGUGUAGCGGUGGAAUGCGCAGAUAUCAGGAGGAACACCCAUAGCGAAGGCAGCUUGCUGGGACGUUACUGACGCUAAGGCGCGAAAGCGUGGGGAGCGAACAGG